UCAAAAAAACCAGACUACAAGGAUCAUGACUGAUAGCUAAAGUAGAGUAGUGACCGAAGGCUUUAAUUCGAGAAGAAGAACAUAUUCUUUCCGAAAAUACAGCGACAUUUGGUUUGUAAUAUGGAAGUCAGCAGGAACUGCGCGCUUGCGUUUGCGCAGUACAGGGAGUC